GAUGAACGCUAGCGGCAGGCCUAAUACAUGCAAGCUGAACGGUAAAUAUUGUAGCAAUACAAUAUGAGAGUAGCGUAAGGGUGCGUAACACGUAUGCAAUCUGCCCUGUACAGGAGGAUAGCUCGGGGAAACCCGGAUUAAUACUCCGUAAUAUUAUUGGGAGGCAUCUCUUGAUAAUUAAAGUCGCAAGACGGUAUGGGAUGAGCAUGCGUCUGAUUAGCUAGUUGGUGGUGUAACGGACCACCAAGGCGAUGAUCAGUAGGGGAACUGAGAGGUUGAUCCCCCACACUGGCACUGAGAUACGGGCCAGACUCCUACGGGAGGCAGCAGUAGGGAAUAUUGGUCAAUGGAUGCAAGUCUGAACCAGCCAUGCCGCGUGCAGGAAGAAGGCCUUCUGGGUUGUAAACUGCUUUUGCCGGGGGAUAAAAAGUCCAUGCGUGGACAAUUGAAGGUACCCGGUGAAUAAGCCACGGCUAACUACGUG
rnacentral:rRNA from 1 species